rnacentral:lncRNA from 1 species
AGAGUUGUGGAUCAUGGGCAAGAAAAGCGCUGUUCUGGGACUGCGGGGCAGGAGAAGGAAACUGAUGCUUCUGAGGGUGAGUCUGAUGAGAUAACAUGCCUGUGUGUGGGCCUCAGGUUAGACAGUGCUGAGGUCUCCCGUCACUGGGCAUCCAGCUGGGUGCUACGGCCGUGGCUCCUGCCUUCUGCAGCCCUGUCAGGGCCCAAGGCCUUCCUCAUCAGCACUUGCUCCAGCCUACUCACUGGAGUUGUGUUCUGGGUGGGUGUGUAGAAUACUCGCACUCCUACUUGGGGCAUCAGGGAGCUCUCUAGCAAUUUCUUCUGCACCUAGGGAGAGCCCACUGCUAAAAAAGGCCUAGUCAAAUCCUCAGGUGUACAUGGACAUCAAGAUUGGGAACAAGCCGGCUGGCUGCAUCCAAACCCUCCUGCGUUCCGACGUCGUGCCCAUGACCACAGAAACAAGGAGAGUCAGCAAUUACCAGCCAGCCAAGGUCCUGGAAGCUGACGUAGAGCUCGUGCCGACGGCAGACCUGCCGGCCGUGGGAGCCGCGGACGUCAUCUGCAGGGACAGAAGGGGCAAGGUCUUUUCUGGGGUUCCUGCUGUGUGCAGCUACUAUGGGGUACCAGGGUGGGGGAUGCCCUGAUGAGCACAUUUGUCAAAUAAAUGAAUGACAGGAAACCA